UAGGGAAUCUUCCACAAUGGACGCAAGUCUGAUGGAGCAACGCCGCGUGAGUGAAGAAGGUUUUCGGAUCGUAAAGCUCUGUUGUUGUUGAAGAAGGAUAGAGGCAGUAACUGGUCUUUAUUUGACGGUAAUCAACCAGAAAGUCACGGCUAACUACGUGCCAGCAGCCGCGGUAAUACGUAGGUGGCAAGCGUUGUCCGGCUUUAUUGGGCGUAAAGCGAGCGCAGGCGGAAUGAUAAGUCUGAUGUGAAAGCCCACGGCUCAACCGUGGAACUGCAUCGGAAACUGUCAUUCUUGAGUGCAGAAGAGGAGAGUGGAAUUCCAUGUGUAGCGGUGGAAUGCGUAGAUAUAUGGAAGAACACCAGUGGCGAAGGCGGCUCUCUGGUCUGCAACUGACGCUGAGGCUCGAAAGCAUGGGUAGCGAACAGG
rnacentral:rRNA from 1 species